UACGUAGGGGGCAAGCGUUGUCCGGAAUCAUUGGGCGUAAAGAGCGUGUAGGCGGCCAGAUAAGUCCGCUGUGAAAUCUCGAGGCUCAACUUCGAGCUGUCGGUGGGAACUGUCUGGCUAGAGUCCGGAAGAGGAGAAUGGAAUUCCUGGUGUAGCGGUGAAAUGCGCAGAUAUCAGGAAGAACACCCGUGGCGAAGGCGGUUCUCUGGGACGGUACUGACGCUGAGACGCGAAAGCGUGGGGAGCGAACAGG
rnacentral:rRNA from 1 species